UUAUUUUACCAAACAUGCUUAAUCUAUUUAAUGACUUAAAUUAAGUUAUUUAGUCAUUAAAUUGAUUUACCAAAUACUGUCUAAGUCUACCCACUAAUCAUGGCUUUUAGAUUUCUAUAUACGAGUAUAAGCAUUGUCACAUUCCCCUAAAAGAAAAUGUGCAAUUCAUUCUUUCCAUGCAACCCAACUCAAUGAGUUUUAGGAUUUGUAUGUUCUUAUGAUGACGUUGCCAAUGGAAUGCUACAAUUAGUGGCCUUUUGUCAUCAUUUCAUUAGUAGUUAACUUUCUUAUACAAGAUUUUGCUCAUUAGUUGUUACCAAUAUGUUAAGUUGUCAUUGCAAGCACAUGGUGCAGCCAAGAACUUGUUUAAAAGACAAAUUAAGAUACUGUUAUUUUCAAUAAAAAUUUGUGCUUUGUACAAGUGAUUGACACUUCCUAAAUGAUAUCUUUGUAUCUUGUUUGCUUUAUUUCCUUAGAGUAUACACAUUCAGUACAAUUUAGUUACGAUAAAAACUUGCAAAUUAUUACUUGAGUUUUGUUGAAUAGGAUAAUACCUCUACAAGGGUGCAAUAAAUCAUUUGUCUUGCCAAUUUAGACAUAUUUACACAUGCAUUAAAAUUUAAGUUGCCAAGUGACUUCUUACCCUUUAAUACAUAGGCAAGCACUAUAUUUUCCUUUUCUUAAAAAACUAUGUAAUUGUGGCUCGUAGUGGAGAUAUCUAUUCCUCAAGUUAGACUACUAAGAACCCUUUUUUGGAAAAGGGCUAAAAUGGUUCAGAAUUAGGGAACCCACCCAAUAAAGUUGGAAUGCAGUUAUAGAUUGUCUUCUAUUUAGUAAAAAGCAUAAAAUUAGCUUACUUAUGAUUAAUUAGUAGUAAUAAACCUUCUUUAAAAAGUUGUAAAGCUAAAGCUAAAAUGAGAACCUAUUUACUUGAAAAUUCUACGACCUUAUGGUGUUACUGUAGAUCGACUAGAAUAGAAAAAUUGCUUUGUCUCAAGUCAUCUAUAUUGACAAGUUUAUGGUCAAGUAUGUGAUGCAAGACUCCAAGAAGGGUCUUCUAACCUCAAAUAUGGAGCGUCCCAUUCUCAUGUUCAAUCUCUUAAGAUAUCUAAGGAGAAAGAUUGCAUGAAGGCUACCCUAUGCCUUUACAAUGGGUAGCCUUAUAUGCCAUACUAUGAACUAGACCGGGCAUUUGUUUUGUUGUUGGGAUGGUGAGCAAAUAUCAAUGCAAUUUAGAUACAAAGCGACCUACUACUUUUAGAAGGUAUAUUUAUCAUUGAAUUAUUACCAUCUUUUCAAUUUUGGAAUAAUUUAUCAUUAUAUUGGCUCUAGAGCAAGAUCUCUAGUUAUGGACUUCAACUAUUAUGGUCCAUAAUUGGCUCCUUAAUAGUGGCAAAGAAAUUAUUACGUUCAUACAUAUGGCCCAAGUUAGGCCUAAUGUAGGAAUUUUAGUCUUUGCAUAGGAAGCAACUUUGUGUCUUAGGUACCAUAGUUUCAACAUCAGGAAUAUGAAGGUAGUGUGAGGAUCUAUCCUAUGAAAGGGAGAAUAUCAUGGGAAACUCUCUUGAUUUUUCAUUUUUUCAUGUUUAAGGCUUGUUAAAAUUGACAUUUUUCUGGGGAUGAAGGUGUUAUUUGUCCCUUCUAAAAUGUUCUUAGCUAGAACAACCUCCACUUUGAAUUGCAUUCAGGAAAUGAUGCAUUGGGCUCUAAUCUAUAAAUCCAUCAUCCUUGGCAAGUUUAGCUAUGAUCAAUUAGUAUAUACUUAAAUUCUUUAAGCUAUGUUUGAUUCUCAGAAAAUUUGAGAGAAAAUGUGAUGGAAAGAAAAUAGAAAUAAAGAAACAAAGAAAUAAAGAAAAAAUGAAGGAAAAUUAAAAAAUAGAAUUAAAUUCAAUAAAUUAUUUUUAUAUGCUUUUUCAAACUUGUUUCACUUAUUUUCCUCCAUUAUAAAGAUUAAAUAGUUUUAAAAUAUAUAAAAUUAUUUUAGUUAUAUUUUAUCUUUUUUCAUAUUUUUCAUAGUGAAACCAAACAUAAGAAAACAAUUUUCCUUAGCAUUUUCCCCCUUCCUUUGUACUUUCCUAGAAACAAACAUACCCUUAGGGAAUUUGGUAGUCUCUUUACUUGUUUUUAUGGUAGAGAUUCAUCGAAUAAAACAAGAAGUCUGCUUAGAAGCAAAAAUGAAAACUAUUUUCCAUUUCUGAAUUGGAUUCACCAUUUUGCCUUCGUACCAUUUCAUCAUUUAAUCUAUCUACACUUUUAAGUAUGUAUGGUUUGUAGAAAAUUUGAGGGACAAAUGUUACUUCAAAUUUAUUUCACUUAUUUUAACUCUUCUAUAUAAAAAUUAAAUAAUUUGAAAAUAUAUAAGUUUAACUAAUUUUAAUUAUUUUUUUUUUUCUUUCUUAUCUUUCCAUACUUAAAAUAGACAUGAAAAAAUAAUUUUCCUUAAUCUUUUUUUCCUUUCUUUAAUACAUUGCCCGAACCAAAUAUAGCGUUUAAGUUAUUUUGUACGGAUGUUUUGUAUUAUCAGUUCUUCACUACAAUUACUUGUCUCAAGAACUUAAGAAGCUCUUGGUUUUGCAGAUGGUGAGACCUUUUUUUUAUCCUCUCUUUAGUACAUUACCGGAACCAAAUAUAGUGUUUAAGCUAUUUUUGAUGGAUGUUUUGUAUUAUUGGUUCUUCACUACGAUUACUGUCUCAAGAACCUAAGAAGCUCUUGGUUUUGCAGAUGGUGAGACCCUUCCUUGAGACCAAGACAUACCAAAAAGUGAAGUUCGUCUACUCCAACGAUGCUGUAAGCCAGAAGAAAAUGGAAGAGCUCUUUGACAUGGACACAUUAGAAUCUUCAUUUGGUGGAAGAAACUCAACCGGGUUCAACUACGAGAC
rnacentral:lncRNA from 1 species